rnacentral:tRNA from 1 species
GCGGGUGUGGCUCAGUGAUUGAGCGCUUGUCUCACAUGCAUGAAGCACUGGGUUCGAUCCUCAGCACCACA